rfam:Arabis alpina cultivar Pajares Aa.chr6_contig_3955, whole genome shotgun sequence.
ACUCCAUGGUGAGGACAAGAUCUAGUGUAACCCUUCAAUCUUUCCCAAGCUUCAUUGGGGCC